AUCUGAGAUUUCUUUUCCUUCUUUCUCAGAAAUUUCUUCCCUUCCUUUCCCUUCUAUUUCUUGCUUUAUUUCUUCUUCUCGACAGAACCCUAUUCUUUUUCUUCAUCCUUUCUUCUUGAAAUUCCAAGAAUUACUUGAAACAAAAUCUCUUUUUCCUUUAAUUUUUCUAUUUCUCAUCCUCUUUAUAUCUCUUUCUUAGUCUGAUUUCUUUAAUUUCUCUUUAGUCCUCUUCCCAAUUCUUCUUUCUUAAUCUGUUAGGGUUACAAAUUUAGAUAAAUACUCUAGCAUUUCCCUUUCCCUUAAUUCUUUCCAUUUCUAGCUCUGAAACUCUAUUUUAGGUUCUGGAAAUAAUUCCUUCGUUCAAACCCUAUUCUUCAAAGUCUUGACUCUUACUAACCUUUCUUUCCUUGUUCCUAUAUUUUUUUAUUAUGGAUGAGCAAUUUUGGGAACAAAAGUUAAGGGAUUUGGAACAAGGCAUUUGUGUUGAUGGGGCAUUUAAAAGAUAUGAGGAAAGGCUGGAUAAAAGAUGGGAGAAGUGGGAGUAUCGUUUCAAGAGAAAAUGAAGAACUUUGAAAUAGAGGAGCAAAUGCCCAUUAAUGAUGUGGACAUAGCAAAAGAGGACCACAAUGUAGAAAAGUUUGAUGUGCAAAUAUCAAACUUAGAUGAGGAACAAGUGGAAAUUCAUGCUUCACUUACCAUUGAUGAAGAAAAUUCAAAAUUGGCUUGUAGCUAAGAGGUGGAUGUUAAGGCUCAU
rnacentral:misc_RNA from 1 species